GCCCUGCGGAACACGGUCUCCCAUGAUCAACUAGACAAGGGUCUGCAUCUCUCUCUCUCCCUUUCCCUGUCUCUGUCUCCCUCUCUGUCUCUCUCUCCCUUUCUCUGUCUGUCUGUCUCUCUCUUUCAUAUAUAAAUUUGGAGGCGGAUGGCCAUCUUAUCUGCAAACUGUCCAACAAGGGAUGUUGACCCUCAAGGGUUCAGUAUCCAGCAUGAAGAAAUCUGGGGGAGGCUCGUCUAAGCCUCUAUCUUCUUGUGACCGCUAGUUGAAGCUCCUGGGGGGAUGGGCGGGACCCCACAUCUGCCUGCCUCUAGCUGCUGAGGUGGGGGAGGUAGGGGAUGGCAAGCUACACUUGUUCCAGCCUCCCACUCCCUGCCAUCUUGGGAAGCAAGCAUAAAAAAGGACAACAGCAGAAGACCAAAGUGAUCGUGGCCGACGGUGACUCUUCCCUGGUCUGGAUUGGUCAUUUCAUCCCCUUUCCCACCAUCCCUUGUUUUGAAAGAGAAUUUAGGUUUGGAUGCCUGGCCCUCAAUCUCCAUCCUGCCCCGGCCCGGGCUCCGUCUCCAUCAGCAAGUACAAGAGGACCAGCAUCCAUCCUCCCAGUGAACCUCAGUAUCAUUCUGGAUAUUUCACCUUAACUCAGCCCAAUCUUGUAUUUUCUGGGGCAGGUGAGUAGCACAGUGGAUAAACCAUCAGGCCUGGAGUCAGGAGGACCUGGGUUCAAAUAUGAGCCGACACUUCCUGGCUGUGUGACCCUGGACAAGUCACUUAACCCUUUCCCCCUAGCCCUCGUCAUUCUGCCUUGAGUUGUUACCCUUAUUCCCAGAAAUCUGCCCCUCCUCACUUUGGCCCCCUGGAAUCUCUGGUUUUGUUCCAGAUACCCUUCCUGGAUAUCCCCCUUGCAACAGGAUUCAUUCAAGCAUGUCUCCAUACAUUUUGCCUCUCCCUUAUUCAGCUCCUUGAGGGCAGGGAUUGUCUUUGUAUGUCUUACUGAAAGGGGGAGCCCCCCCCCCCAGCAGUGUAGCACACCUAGUUGGCUGAGAGGAUCAAGCCAGACCUAGAGGAGACGUCCCGGCUUCAGACAUUCCCUGGCUGGGUGACUCUGAACCCCCACUGCCUAGCCAUUGCUGCUUUUCUGUCUUGGAAGCAGUGCACAGCAUCGAUUCCAAGACGGAAGGCAAGGGUAAAAAGCAAGCAAACAACAAAGAAAACUGGAGGGAAAUCUCUGGUUUGAGACAGAAAGCCUCUCCCCGACACCCCGUCUGGCCUCCGUGGGCUCGCUUACCGCUGUAGGCAUCCUGCUGCCGAGUGAGGUCGGGGAGCGAGCCGGGCUGGGAGGACAGUGACACGUGGUUGUGAAGGAGGCUGGAGUUGCUGG